rnacentral:misc_RNA from 1 species
UGACCCAUUUGAAGCUGGUAGAUGCUCCAGUCUUGAUCCUCUGAGCUCCCACCAUUGCAGCUGCUUUGGCUUUAUUCAAUCCUGAUUUGCCAUCUGACUUCUUAUUAUUGCUGGUGUCUUUCUUAUUGGUAGUGUCCUCUUCUGCCAUGGCACCAAUACCCCCUGCACCCCACUGAUCUGCCCAGCUUGGUGGCUCGCUUUCC